rnacentral:misc_RNA from 1 species
UUUGGAUCCAAUUUAGUAACUUGUUGACGAACAUCUUAUGCAAACAAAUACUAUCAAAUAUGUGGGAUUCAAUAGGAAACAAAGAUUUAUAUAAAACAAAAUAGUAUAAGAAAUUUCACUAUUAGGGACAAAAGAGGGUAUGCAAUUGAUUAAAAAACAAGUUGUAGAUAGUGCAUUAGGUAGUGCUCUAGCUACCUUAAGGAGAUGUCAGAUCUUUAUUUAUUUAACUCCAUUUUGGGAUGGAAUAUCGAUACAAGAGGACUGAUGGAGAAUGCCAUUAUUUAACAUAUAUCACUUCGCAAUGUCCGCGCAGAAACAUUAAAUAGUGUUUUAAUUUUAGCAUAAAAGGCACAAAAAAUAGAAAAUA